CAUUUUGGAUCGUCGAACGGUAAGCGAUUAGUACGGGAUUUACGUCGUUCCUCGUAAUUACAGGAAAUUAUUCCUCGGCCAAGGACGUAUACAGAGCUUGUUGAAACGUGUUUGUUAAAGGACAAAGAAAAAGCCAAAAGGUUUCUCCGAAGCGAACGUUCUUUUUCCUAUCCACGUAUAAAAAUGAUCAUUAUAAUCGCGUCGCGAGAUAAGAAAUAAAUCGUGUGUUGCAUCGUUUAAAUUGAAAUGAAAAUCGUGCAGUAGAAGCAGUGCUUGUUCGUUUUUUUUUUUUUUUUUUUUUUUUUUU